rnacentral:rRNA from 1 species
UACGUAGGGGGCAAGCGUUGUCCGGAUUUAUUGGGCGUAAAGAGCGUGUAGGCGGCUUGGUAGGUCCGCUGUGAAAACUCGAGGCUCAACCUCGAGAUGUCGGCGGAAACCACUUGGCUAGAGUCCGGAAGAGGAGAGUGGAAUUCCUGGUGUAGCGGUGAAAUGCGCAGAUAUCAGGGGGAACACCGGUGGCGAAGGCGGAGACCUGGGCCGAUACUGACGCUGAGGUGCGAAAGCGUGGGGAGCAAACAGG